rnacentral:lncRNA from 1 species
CAGCAGGGAAAGCAUGAGACUCAAUCCAGAAUGGGCAUUGUAUAGCUUGGAUUACAUCUGUUAAUGGAUGGGUGGGAGAUGAGAACAGGAGGGGAAGUCAGCUGUUGAAUUUUACACACUGCAUGGAAAGUAGGAAAAAAAAAUCAAAUAGCCAUUACCCCUAAUUUAAUUUAAGCCAACAUCAAUCACUUCAUGAGGACUGAAGAGAGAGAGCCCAUCACUGUAUCAGAAAAUCAUGUUAUUAUCAGUUUGCUGUCAUAUCCUAACUUAACAGAAAAAUCAACACGGGGCUUUUAAAGUUGAUAGUUUUUAUUUACAUUUUUGUUGGCAAAGGGCAGUGGGAACGUUUGAAACAUUUUAAACAGAGGGCACCAUAUUGUACUGCGUGAUGUAUCAGUUCACUGUCUGUAUCCUCAGUAUCCAGCUGAUCAAAUAAAGCUAAUCAACAUGUAAAGAAAAGUGAUCUGCAUCAGCUCCUCUAGAGCGUGCUGCCUAAAAGCAAGGCAGGCAGUUUCUAAAUCAACACAAUCACUAUUAAAAAUGCAGUUCUGGUCAAGAACAUUUACUUUUAUUUCAUACUGUACCUGGUAUCAACUUCCCACUUACAUCUGCAUACGGGCAAAGCAGUUACACUCCCUACUUUUAGGGUGAAAUUUAUUAUCUCAUUCUCUGCAAAUUCAGCUGUCAGGUAAUUAUGAACUAUUCUGAGUAUUUUACUGUGAUCAUAGCAAGACUGGAGAUGAGACUGAAGUAAAACAUUCCUGGUAUAUGACGUGCCCAUCAGAAUCAGCCGGGUAACCAUAAACAUCCUGUUUAAGAAAUCUAUUCAAAAAGGAGAAAAAGUGUAGUCAGUUUGCACUUUAUCACAUGGAUUUUAAUUCCCAUUUGAGCUUUUUAAUUCAUUCUUCUAAAUCAAGAGUGUUUAGUUCUUCUUCUAGUUCAUCCAAGUCCUCGCCAGUAAAAAGGUUUUCAUCAACCGGAACUGCAUCCAUUACUCCAUUUUCCAACUCUUCAUCGCCAUCGCGAUCUUCUAAAUCAUUUUGUUCACUGCUGUUUAUCUCACCACCAGAAGCUUCACUGAGUUUGUUAUCAUCUUUUUCUAUUGAAGCAUAUGUGCUGAACCGCUCAGGACUAGCCACAGUAAUGCCAGUUUCAUCUACAGCCUUUGGGACAUACAGACUCAGGUCUACAUCAUUUACGCACACAGGGUCUUCCACCUCAUCAUCUUCUCCCGUUCCUUGGGUGUAGCGAGUGUCGUCUGCUUCUUCAUCAUCGGCAUCAACCAGCUCUGGUCGGAACUCAAAUACUUCACGUCCACUAAUCACCAAUGCCUUGCCAGCUUUAAAAUCUGCUUUCCUCCUUUCCAUAUCUUGCUCUGCCUUAUCAAUUUUUUCUUGUCUUUUUCUUCUCUUCCAUGCAAUAAAACACUCUAAAGUGAUUUUGGUAACAUUUGGUCCUAAGGCAGCACGCUCUUUUUCUAUUAGAUCUUCUAAGGAAAUUUCAUCUUGCUUUUCUUCCUUCUUUUUGUCUUUUUUUAGUACAAAACCUGGAGGAAGAGCAUGGCGAUACAUGCAAUUGUCUCCACCACCUGGACAGACCCAAAACCAUCCGUAUUUGUUGUUUUCAAUAGCAUCAAGAAAAUACUUGCAGACUAUUUGAGUUUUGGGUUUUUUCUUUUCCGCCUCACCGUGCUUCUUGUUCACCACCUCUUCUAGCUUCUUCUCAUCCCAGUUAUCCAUUGUGUCUUUUUCAAGGUCUUCAUCUCUUGCAUCAAUGUACACACUUCGUUUUUCACACUUCCUUUCCAAAGACAAGUCAUGAGAAAACUUGCACUUGUCUCCUUUAGUGCACUGUCCUUGCUUGAAGAAAGCACAAACUACAGAUUUGGGAUCAGCACCUUUGCUAAUCUUCUGUGCAGCAACCACAGGCUUGAAGAGUUCAUUUAAUUCUUGUAGUUCUUUUUUCUUAUCUUCUUUUUUUAAUUUCUUUUCACUUUCUGUUUGAGCGGCCUGACGUGGAUUUUGCUGACCAAAUUUAACCUGGUGAGUCACAGCCUUGAUAAAUUUCUGUUGUUUUGCACCUUUCUUGUUCUUUAGGCCAAAUGUUUUGUCCUCGAUGAUCUUCUCCUUCUUCUUCUGGUCCGCCUUCUUGCUGCUCCCCGCCGGCUGCUGCUGCUUCUUGGGGGGCAUCGCGGGGAGGCGGGGCGGCCGCGGCUCCCGCUCGGAGCCUGGCGGGGACGGACAGACUGCCGGGCCGGCUCCGCGCCGCCGCCGGGAGGCGCAACGCAGCUGGCUCGCGGGGCACGCCGGGACUGCGGAGCGGGGCGCGCGGGGCCGCUCAGCUCCCGGCAGGGCGCGCGGCGCGCGUCACGCGGGCCGUGCUGCGUCAACGGUCCCGCCCUGAGGGAGGGCGUUGGCGGCAAUCCGCGGGCGCCGCCAUGUUGGGGCGUGGCUCGUGUGAGGGGGCGGGACGCGCGCCUUCCCUCCGCCUCUCCCCCGUUCUACGAGAUUCGAUUAGGCAUGGCUGCACGCAGGUGUUGCAAAGCUAGAGGAGAGAAAGGAGUACGUUGAAGAAGGGCGUUCCCGCUCAGCUGUGAGCAGAGAGGUGGGACGGAGCUAAAAUCUGGUGUUGAUCGUCGUGUGAGAGCACCUGAGUGAACCUCCAGCAACGAUAACACUGCGUGGAGGGAGCAGAGACAAAGCACAUAAUGGCGCUUGUGCACGUUUGCAGCUGUAACUUUUGCUGCUGUAUAUAUCUUUUACUUUCUGUCAGGAAAGGAAAGUAACCGAGAGAGAACUGAAAGGAAAAAGACACUUUACCUCAUAUUUCCAUCUUCCCAGUUAAAAAAGUGCAUGCAAGAGAACCUGCAAGCUAAGCAAUCAAGUCAGGGAGAGAAACGCCCCCAGCCGACAGCCAGGUAACAAAGGCACCACCUGCGUGUCCCUGUAUUCCUUCUCCUCAGUUCCACCUGAGAAACUCAUCAUUCCCUGAAGACCGCCCCCCCCCCCAAAAAAAAAACAACUAAGGUACUGCAUUUCACACUGAGACUGGGUAAAGGAAUCUGCUACUGUAUAGAGCUUUCUGAGACACAUGAACCCUAGUUACCAGGGAAGUUGUGCUAAAUACACCAUCCCUUCAAAAUAAGGAGUCUUUUCUGCAAACAGAAAGCACAUCAUACUUCAUGCAUUAGACUGGGGUCAGGUUUAGCACACAAACAGCUACAGCCUGCCCAAGAGCAGACAAGUACUACAAUCAAGCCCACCUUUGAGGCUUACAUUCCCAGGGAGCACCUCUCUGUUGGUGAGCACAGAGUCCUGCAGAGCACCUCUCUUCAUCCACUUGGACAAGUUCUCAUCAAUGCACUCCUGCAAUAUACAUUGCUCCUCCAUCAGAUAUUGGCAUAGGCACAGUUCCUCUUCUUUAAAACAAGAGCAAAGAAACUUUGGAGGUGUGGGGAACUCAUCACCUGCAAUUAUCACAAUCAUCUCUGCUUGUAACCCUUCCUUCUCAAAGAGCUGGAAACAGAAACAUGAAGAAAGCAUUCUGAAGCAUUGGUGGAGUAGCCUGGCUUGUUGAAUGAAGUACAUAAAAUCCAUGCUUCUAUCUCGAUACUGAAAGGUGUCCCUCACUUCAGUUCUCAUUCUGUAACACUGAAGGACAGUGGGAGGCAACCUGUUACAUCUUUUUCAGACCAUCCAUGCAGCAUUGUCUUGAGAACAACUUGAACAUUUCGUUCCUGUUAUCUGUGUCGAAAUCUCCAGAUCACCCCAAACCUCAUAUACUUGCAUAAAAUAAGUGGUGACAGAAGGAAGAGACUGAGAAUUCAGGUGGAGAGAAGAGAGGCAGUUCUUUAGAGUGAGAGAUACGGUUCUAUGGCCAGUGUGAAAAAAAAAAAAAAAACAAAACAAAAAACAGAGAGAAAAUAAAAUUUUCCUCCUAUCUCUGUUCCACUCUCAUUUUAAUACAUCUUCAGACUAAAGCAGUGACAUCUCAUUUUCGACUGAAGACGUUUGGAAAUGGAUCUCCUAAAAAGAUGUCAGCAAACAGGCAAAUAAACACAGAAUGCAUAUCUAAGCUACUGGAUGUUUACAAAAGGUACUGCAGAAGGGAAAAUGUACCAGAUGAAAUGGAAAUUAUUUCAUGAAUCACCUCACGAUUUCACAGAAAUAAGGGAAGUAUUAUUACUGAUUAUUCUCCAUAAAACAAGUUUAAAAACAUACCAUCGUCUAAAAAGGAAAAGUGAAAGGUUUCUAAAUUGGAUAUUUCAAUAUUGCUAAUGAGAACGAAGUGAGCUGAUGAAUGUUGAAUCAUUCCUUGACAGUUUUUAAACAAAUAUUAUCAUUCAUUCUCUUUCCUGCAUCGACAGAUGAUGUUUCUUGUUCAAAUGAGGCUUCCUGACUUUUGAUAAAGGCUGCUGAAAAUAGCACUCCCCUUCCCAAGCUGUAUAUUCACCUCUAGCAUAUACUGACAUACUGACAGGGAAUGAAAAUUUGGGAUGCUCUGCAGUGUUCUGCCCUUUCAUGAAGGGUUUGUCUUGUGUGUGAAGUAUGAUGUACACCAUGGUAUCACUAUAUCACAUUACCCGGUGAUGAAUUUAGAAGCUGCCACUGCUGUCUAAUUCAGCAAUCCAUUUUGAAAUUGAGUAGCCUCUUCUCUCCCUUAAAAGUAGGGCAUCAUUAAAUUAAAGUAACCUAUUGUGUGCAGCAGACUAGGCAAGAAGUGGGUGAUGUUCUCCUGCCUUCAGCUGUCUGUCCCUGCCUGCUGGCUGCUUUCAAAUGGAGGAGACAAGUCUGAUGGGCUGCUUAAACUCGUUCCUUCACUUCCCUCCAUUCUUAGCCUCCACAGAGGGCAGACUUGGGACUGUAAAGAACAGCUGCUUACCUCACUGAUGCUUUAUAUACUGAUUUAAGUGUGUAUAUGCUCACUUUUAUAUCUUGUUUAUUCAUUACUGUGGAAGGCUAUAGGAAGUUGGGGGAAAGUUGCAAGGUACAAGACUGAAAAUGGAUUUUGGAUUUGUGGAGCAGGCUGUGUGUAAGCAAAUGCACUUGGAUUCCGUGCUGGCUUUCUCCCGUUACACAGUUUUUGCAUUGUUCUUGAUCAAAAUGGAUGGAAAAUACUGAGGGUGUUCACUUGGUUUUGCUAUAAUUGCUAUAAACAUUCUAAAUAGUGCUUUGGUUAAUAGUCAGAAGGACAAAUGGGAAGGAAGCCAUCAGGUGGGUAGUCAGGUAGAGACACUUUGUUUGCGUUUACUGUAAGAGCACAUUGGAAAUAUUGUUAAUUUAACAUCAACCAUCUAAAGAUAGCACCAAUUCUAAUUUCAUCAGCAGGUGAGUGUGAAAAAUCGGCCAAUGUUUUCAAUGUAGAAGUGGAAAAAUAAAAAAAUAGAAAGCCAGUUAUGUAUUAAUUGUGAUAGAGCACUAUCUGAAUUUGAAGAGCUAGAAAUUCUGCCCAUUUCAUCGAGACUUGACCUAACAUUUCCCACUGCGAGUAGAAAAUAUUGAUAUAAUGCAUAGGAAUCAUUCUGUUUGUGGUGGGUUUUUGUGGUUGUUUGUCCUUUUCUUUCUUUCUUUUUUUUUACUAGCCGUUGCCCAUAUGGCCAGUUAAUUAUCCUUCUGCAGGCAGAAUUAUUUUAUUUAAUGAAUUUUUAAAUGUCAGUGACGUGAAAAACCAUUACUGUGGUUGUAAGUCCAUUACUCACCUUCAGCUUCUAUUUCCCAUCACCCCCCACUUUAGCUUUAAGGAGCAUCUGAAGUGACAGAGCUUUGAUUUCAGUUGAGAGUGCUGAGCACAGAAGUCUUACAAGUAAUACAUUAUUAAAAAAUCGUAGCAAGAAAAUUAAUUUCUACUAUCGUAUGCCAUGCUGGGUAUAUCACUUCUAACAAAUGACCUUUUUUUUUCAUAUAUUCAUUGGUAGAUUUACCAGGACAAAAUAAUUACUUUGUUUUCCACCUCUAAGAAAAAAAAAAAAGUCUUUUUCUUGUGCGUGUGUGGUUUUCUUGUUUUGUUUUUAAUUGAAAUAAGUACACAAAAUGGGUUCUAUAAGAUAAAAAGAAAAAGGAAAGAAAAAAGAAGGAACUGGAAAACCACACAGAAAUGAGGCACUGGCUCCCUGUCAUGUUGUCUGGUCAGUAAUAUUUCUUACUGUGAAAUUCCUGCAUGUUCGCAUGUUCAUGUUUAAAUCCUCCCAGAGAGAUUUUGCAUUGGAUCCUAGUUGAACUCAAGAAGGUAGAUGGUUAUGCGGUUUCUCAUAUUUCUUGCUUUUGAGAGGAACGUCUGUUUAUCCAGAGAGCCUUAUCUGGGCUUGGCGACGAGCACAUUCCGCAGCCAGAAGAAGGACCAGACAGCUAUACUCUGGACCACCUCAUUUCAGAAUUCUGCUUGAAGCACACUAAAGACUUCAGUGAGACUUUCUGACAGCGUGUGGUAAUGAAACUACCCCAUAAGGAGAUGAAAAACAAGAUAUACUCAAUGGGAGGAGCACAUGCUUGUACUUAAAUUCUUCUGUUUCUCCUUCAGUCAGAUGGGCAAAGGAAAAUGCUGUCCUAUCCCAAGAAAUGCAAAGGCAUAAUCAAGUAUGUCUGUGCCUCUCUUGCCAUUUUGAUAUUGGGAACUCAUCCAGCUGUGAACCAAUAGUCUUAUAUGGAAGAUCAGAACUGCUGCUCCUUCGCUUCUUGAUGUAGGAUCUCUCUAUACACAAGCACUGUGCGCGAGUCUUCCCCUUAAAACUUUGAGCACUGCAUAAAUUCUGCUGGUCAAGAGGCUCAGACUGUGAUUUCAAAAGGAACUCCCGUAUUUGUCAACACGUAGCUGAUGAAUGCUCACAGCUAAGAAGUGGUAUUGUGGAUCCCUUUCAUGACUUAUACCUAUAUUUAGUAAGUAUGGAUGACUAACUAAUCCUUUACUGGGAGCAGCUACUGCAAAAUGUAAGUAAGUGCAGAAAUCACCAUCACUGAAUAAAUACUGUGUUGAGUACAGGACGUGUCUUGCAUUAAUAUUUUUGGCCAUUAGAAAUAUUAGAGCAACAGUAGGUUUUAUCACUAGACUGGUUAUGUGUAACCUGUGUCACCUUCCUUUCUUAUCUUUAAAAAUUUCAAGAUGUGAUUUUAUUUCACAGCUGUGAUAACUGCAGAAUAAUCACACCAAUCACCAAGUUACUUGAAAAUAAGUAAGUAACAACAUGAGACAAACCUUAUCUUUACUACAAAGGCAUGCACAAGUUGCUCUAAAUUCUAGCUGGCACUUUACGCACCAAAAGGCUAAGAACUAUUCAAUCACCCUGCUCUUCCAGAACUUCCUUUACUGACUAAUAUAUUCUGGAGAGGUACCUGUGGGAGGAUUGGAGUGAGCCACUGCCUGCAGAGCUAAAUAACAAGCAUGAACACAAGGUACUCACCUAAACAUCCUCCAUGAAAAUGCAGCUGACACACUUGAGGGACGGGAUGCCAUUCGAAAGAAGCAUGGUGAGCAGGGCCAGGGAGAUGGUCCUGUCCUCUACUCUGCGCUGGCAAGGCCUCACCUGGAGUACUGGGUCCAGAUGUGGCGUCCUUUGUACAGGAGAGGCACUGACCUGUUGGAGUGCAUCCAGAGGAGGGUCACAAAAAUGAUCCAAGGGAUGGAACACGUCUCCUAAGAGGACAUGCUGAAAGAGCAGGGGCUGUUCAGCCUGGAGAAGAGAAGGCUCCAGGGAGACCUGAGAGCAGCCAUUCAUAUCUAAAGGGGAGCUACAGGAAAGAAGGGGACAGACUCUUUAGAAGGGUUUAUUGUGAUGGGACAAGAGGAAGUGGUUUCAAGCUAUAAGGGGAAGAUUUAUACUGGAUAUAAGGAAGAAGUUCUUUGCAAUAAGGGUGGUGAGGCACUGGAACAGGUUGCCCAGAGAGGUGGUGGGAGCCCCAUUCUUGGAGACAGUCAAGGUCAGGCUGGAUGGGGCUUUGAGUACCCUGAUCUAGCUGUAGCUGUCUCCGUUCAUUGCAGGGGUGUUGGACUAGAUGGCCUUUAACGGUCUCUUCCAGCUCAAAAAAAUCCAUUAUUCUGUGAUUUUCACCCAGCCUAGUAUCUUUCCUGACAGGCUGUGUAGCCCGGCAGAUAAAGGAAGCAAAAUUAUCCUUCUUGAAUGUUAGCUCUUGCUUAGCAUCUUGGCAAAACCAGUUGGCAAAUAAACCUUUGUUUGACCUUGGUAUGUUUCUCUGGAAGCUCUGUUUUUCUCCUCUGCACUCCCUUCUUUAAAUAGAAAGAGAGGUCUCGGACCAACAGAGCGCAAAGGAGUCACAGCAGGCACAUGGGGAGGGAGUCUCUGCUUCCUCAGCUCUGGAUACAUCCCAGCCUGACAUGAUUUGUCACCUUGUGUAAUAUAAUUCAGCUUAAGAUAUAAAUUCCUGUAAGCCUUAAGCUGUGCAGCCAGAACGGUGAUAAAGUAACAGAGAAAUGAAGAUUUACAAGACACAUCUAAGGUGUAAACAUGAAUAAAAUAAUCCACACGCGUACAUAGUAAAAUGCUGUAUUCCUAUGCUUGCUUUAUAUUCCCCACACAGUUCGAAGUCUGAUUUACUGCUCCUUACUGAAAACACACUCUUGCUUGAAUAGAAACUUGCUGAAAUUUCACAAUUCUUAUCACUACUCAGGAUUGCUACAAAUUUGAUUCAGUUUGGGUUGGUUUGCCUUAGAAAUUUCUUCUGUGGGAACAGAACAUUUGCACAAGUCGUAUACCCC